rnacentral:rRNA from 1 species
UGCAAGUCGAACGGCAGCACGGGAGCUUGCUCCUGGUGGCGAGUGGCGAACGGGUGAGUAAUGCGUCGGAACGUACCGAGUAAUGGGGGAUAACGCAGCGAAAGCUGUGCUAAUACCGCAUACGCCCCGAGGGGGAAAGCAGGGGAUCGCAAGACCUUGCGUUAUUCGAGCGGCCGACGUCUGAUUAGCUAGUUGGUGGGGUAAAGGCCUACCAAGGCGACGAUCAGUAGCGGGUCUGAGAGGAUGAUCCGUCACACUGGGACUGAGACACGGCCCAGACUCCUACGGGAGGCAGCAGUGGGGAAUUUUGGACAAUGGGGGCAACCCUGAUCCAGCCAUUCCGCGUGAGUGAAGAAGGCCUUCGGGUUGUAAAGCUCUUUCAGCCGGAACGAAACGGUACGCACUAAUAUUGUGUGCUAAUGACGGUACCGGCAGAAGAAGCACCGGCUAACUACGUGCCAGCAGCCGCGGUAAUACGUAGGGUGCGAGCGUUAAUCGGAAUUACUGGGCGUAAAGCGUGCGCAGGCGGAUUAUUAAGCAAGACGUGAAAGCCCCGGGCUUAACCUGGGAAUGGCGUUUUGAACUGGUAGUCUAGAGUGUGUCAGAGGGGGGUGGAAUUCCACGUGUAGCAGUGAAAUGCGUAGAUAUGUGGAGGAAC